AAACCCGUGUCACCUGCAUUGGCACGCGGAUUCUUAACCACUGCGCCACCAGGGAAGCCCUUGUGUAUUUUCAAAGUAAAUUGAUGUAAAGGGUGGAAGCCAGUACUGUUUACACAAGACUCAAAAGCAACACAGGCAGCCUUUAAAAAGAGGGCAAUUCUGACACAUGCUACACCAUGGAUGAACCUUAAAGAUAUUAUGUUAAGUGAAAUAAGCCAGACACAAAAGGACAAAUACUGUUUGAUUUUAGUUACAUGAGGUGCAUAGCGUAGGCAAAAUUCAGAGAGACAGGAAGUAAAAUGGUGGUUGCCAGGGUCUGGAGGGAGGGGCCAUGGUGUGAGUGUUUAAUGCGUACAGUUUCCAUUUGGGAAGAUGAAAACAUUCUGGUUGGGACUUCCAUGGUGGUCCAGUGGUUAGGACUCCGUGCUUCCACUGCAGGGGAUACGGGUUUGAUCCCUGGUCAGGGAACUAAGAUCCCACAUGGCGAGAAGCCAAAAAAAAAAAAAACAUUCUGGAGAUGGACGGUGGUGAUGGCUGCGCAAUAAUCUAAAUGUAAUUAAUGCCACUGCACUGUAUAACUAAAAUUUGUUAAAACGGUUAACUUUUAUGUUAUGUAUAUUUUACCACAAUUUUUUCUUUUUUUAAAGCAAUGCAGGACCUUCUGUCUAAGGCACCUAAGUAGCUGCAAAGCUACUUGGGAAAUGGAGGAAGGCAGAGGUCCAAUUACGCACACCCCACAGCAGGCACCACAGCCCAGCAGAGGCCAGCGCCGUGUUCUAACAGCUAAGCGUCGCAGGUCUAAAGGAUACAGGCUGCAGGAUGUGGGUGUCUUCUCUACACCAGGUGCUCUCUGGGGCUGCUCACCCAGGGGGAGUGCCCACGCGCAGGUGGCCCUGGUGUCUGCAGGAGGCCCAGAGAAGGAAACAAGUGUGUUCUUGACGGAGGCCCUGGCCUGACACAGCCCUUGUGCUGCAGCGGGCCUGGCGGCUUCUCUUCCAGACAUGGUGACCUGCUUGGCCCUCAGCCUGGGCCUCCAGCCAGGACGCUCAGGUGACCCAGAGCUGUCCCACUCCCUGUGCCACCACCUCCCAGGCCUCUUCCUUAGCAAGGAUAGCUAACUUCUGUUGCCAUGGAAACACCGCAGACCUUUGGGCCCCUUCUCAGCGCCAUCUUUUCCCCACUGUAGUGGUUUCUGAACUGCAGCCUGUGAACUCUCACAGGUGCUCCGAGGAGCUCACAGAUGUCGAUUUUAUGUGCAAAAUAUAUGUUAACAUCUUAAAACGCACACUCUUCUGUUAUCAGUGGCAAGCACUGAACGGUGGGAACCCCUGGGCCGGCCCUGCUCCAGCACAGGCUCCCUGGCCUCAUGCAGCCCUCGGGGAAGGCUGGCCUUGCACCUGGGCUGGUCCAGGGAGACGCCAGGAGUGGGAGGUGAGCGGCUGAGAACCUUCCACGACGUCCUGGGCGAGCCAGGCUUCCUCCAACUCCUGCCACCAGGACCAAGCAGCGGAAUGAAUGGAAGAUGAGGCUACAGCCCCAGUUAGCUCCUUCCUCCAAAUCGUGCGCUUUUCAAAUUAGUCCCAUUACUCUUCUAGACUCACUUCAUAAGAAGUCAAUGUUAUAAAUGUAAAUGAGUAAUUUAUAUGAAUACUAUAUUUCCUGUUUUAUAUAAUGGAAUUUCAUGGGGGAUUUAGAUUGAGAAAAGGGAUUUCUCUGCUUUAAAAAAGAUAAAAAGUCAGGCACCCCCUGCCCUGAAGGGAGCUGCCAGGCUGCCCACGGGGCACCAGACAAAUGGACACAGCGACCGGCCCAGGUUGAAGGGGGCAGGAAACCAGGAGAAACUUCCUCAGGAGACCGCGGUGAGAACACCUGGUGCCUCUGGACCUUGUAAGGAGACUGAGGCCACUGGUGGCUUGUUGAGGAUUUACUGUAAUUUUCUGUAUAGAUAAGUAAUUAUGCCAAAAAAAAAGACCAUGAUUAAUAUAUAAAGUUGUGCAAAAGAGGAAA